GACGAACGCUGGCGGCGUGCCUAACACAUGCAAGUCGAGCGAAUGAAGUUCCUUCGGGAAUGGAUUUAGCGGCGGACGGGUGAGUAACACGUGGGCAACCUGCCUCAUAGAGGGGAAUAGCCUUCCGAAAGGGAGAUUAAUACCGCAUAAGAUUGUAGUACCGCAUGAUACAGCAAUUAAAGGAGCAAUCCGCUAUGAGAUGGGCCCGCGGCGCAUUAGCUAGUUGGUGAGGUAACGGCUCACCAAGGCGACGAUGCGUAGCCGACCUGAGAGGGUGAUCGGCCACAUUGGGACUGAGACACGGCCCAGACUCCUACGGGAGGCAGCAGUGGGGAAUAUUGCACAAUGGGGGAAACCCUGAUGCAGCAACGCCGCGUGAGUGAUGACGGCCUUCGGGUUGUAAAGCUCUGUCUUCAGGGACGAUAAUGACGGUACCUGAGGAGGAAGCCACGGCUAACUACGUGCCAGCAGCCGCGGUAACAC
rnacentral:rRNA from 1 species